GGAGAGAUCGCCUAGUCCGGUUUAUGGCGCACGCCUGGAAAGUGUGUAUACCGUAAGGUAUCGAGGGUUCGAAUCCCUCUCUCUCCGCCA
rnacentral:tRNA from 1 species